AGAGAGAGAGAGAGAGAGAGGACUCAACACUAUCUCUAAGGAAAAUUAUGACUUGGUACACUAAAUUAUGCCUAUGACUUAGUGCAUUGGGACUAUACAAUAAUUUAUGCUAUCUCUAAACCCUUCUUUUUGGCAAUGAGAUGACUUCUAACACUCCUAUCAAUAUCAAGAAACCCCUAUAUAAGGUGAUGAAGGGUGCUUCCUUGUAUGUAUUAAAUAAAAAUUUAGUGAUUUUAUUUUAAUAAAUUAAAGUUAAAAAACGAAAUUGAAACAAUCCCAAAAUUGAACAACAGUCAAUAAAAAUUACUUAGCUCUUUUUACGUAAGGUAUAUAGAUAAUCCAAGUUAUGUUCUGCAUCUCUACGCCACAUAAAUUUGAUCCUAGACAACCGAUAAGCCUGCUUUGUUCUGUUCUUCUUGCAUCCUCAACAAUCUUUAGCUCCAAUUCGGAUUUCUCCUCAGUUCUUUACUUUGAACUUAAAAAAGUAUGAUUUCACUCAAAUUUUGCAAGACCCACCUUUCGCCAUCUCUCCUCAACUCCUCCAAGCUCCAAAAACAAAGAACAGAACAACCCAUUUUUCUUCCAAAGAAAGUAGUCCACAGAAGAAAGCUUACAGUAAGAGGAUGCAGUGGACAAGAACCAGAGAAAAAGAAGACAGAGAGGAAAAGUUUCUUGAGUCUUGAAGAAGCUGGUCUAGUUGAAAUAUCUGGUUUGAGCACUCAUGAGCGCUUUCUGUGCCGUUUAACGAUAUCAUCACUGAACCUUCUGAGAGUCAUCUCAGAGGAAGAAGGGUGUGCAAUUGAGGAGCUAAAUGCUGGGAGGAUAUGUGACUGGUUUGUAAAAGAUAAGCAGAGAAGAGAGCAGAAUAUUGAAUCUGCAGUCCUUCGGUGGGACGAUUCUGAGUUCCAAUUUUGAGCUUUUGUGGUUCUUUUUAUUGUUAAU
rnacentral:misc_RNA from 1 species